rnacentral:rRNA from 1 species
GAUGAACGCUGGCGGCGUGCCUAAUACAUGCAAGUCGAGCGAACGGACGAUAAGCUUGCUUCUCUGAUGUUAGCGGCGGACGGGUGAGUAACACGUGGAUAACCUACCUAUAAGACUGGGAUAACUUCGGGAAACCGUAGCUAAUACCGGAUAAUAUUUUGAACCGCAUGGUUCAAAAGUGAAAGACGGUCUUGCUGUCACUUAUAGAUGGAUCCGCGCUGCAUUAGCUAGUUGGUAAGGUAACGGCUUACCAAGGCAACGAUGCAUAGCCGACCUGAGAGGGUGAUCGGCCACACUGGAACUGAGACACGGUCCAGACUCCUACGGGAGGCAGCAGUAGGGAAUCUUCCGCAAUGGGCGAAAGCCUGACGGAGCAACGCCGCGUGAGUGAUGAAGGUCUUCGGAUCGUAAAACUCUGUUAUUAGGGAAGAACAUAUGUGUAAGUAACUGUGCACGUCUUGACGGUACCUAAUCAGAAAGCCACGGCUAACUACGUG